rnacentral:lncRNA from 1 species
GCCCAUUCUCAUUUCCAGGCUAAAGUCACCCCAGAGUGUGGCUUCACAGGGUGUGUGGAGAAAACCGCAAGCAGCUCAUCUAAGGAAUGAGUUUGAAAGCCUCCCGCUUGGCUCUGAUGGAAAUACACCUGUUCUGGAAAUUCGAAGGGGCUGUUGAUAUGGUCUUGAUCUUUGCCUGUCUUGUCAUCAGUUGUCAGCAACAACUGGGCAAAAAGCUCUGGAAAAGCUCUGGAGGCAAAUUGAGUCC